rnacentral:rRNA from 1 species
GUCCACGCCGUAAACGAUGAGUACUAGGUGUUGCGGGUAUUGACCCCUGCAGUGCCGCAGCUAACGCAUUAAGUACUCCGCCUGGGAAGUACGGUCGCAAGACUAAAACUCAAAGGAAUUGACGGGGGCCCCGCACAAGCGGUGGAGCAUGUGGUUUAAUUCGACGCAACGCGCAGAACCUUACCUGGGCUUGACAUCUACGGAACCUUCGUGAAAGCGAGGGGUGCCUUUCGGGGAGCCGUAAGACAGGUGCUGCAUGGCUGUCGU